rnacentral:rRNA from 1 species
ACUCUUCCCCUGUUCCUCUUCCUGCUCCUGUCUCCUGGAGCCUCGGUAACCGGCGUAUCCGAUCUGCUCAACGAGGGCAGCAACAUCACCGACGGCAACACGCUGGUCUCAGCCGAUGGGUCGUUCAUCCUGGGCUUCUUCUCUCCCCGGGUGUCCACCAACAGAUACCUCGGGAUAUGGUUCUCCGUGUCCAACACCACCGUCUGCUGGGUGGCGAACCGUGAAAGGCCCCUGAACAGCACGGCGGGGGUUCUGGUGUUCAGCGACACCGGAAACCUUCUCCUGCUUGAUGGCUCAGGCCAGACCGUAUGGACAUCCAACUCCACCACGAGGGCAGCUCCUAGGGUUGCGCAGCUUCUUGAAUCCGGCAACCUGGUCAUCCGUGAACAAGCCGGCCACACCACCGUGUGGCAAUCGUUCGAUUAUCUGUCCGACACGCUGCUUCCUGGUAUGAAGAUGGGCAAGAACCGAUGGACAGGGUCCGAGUGGUACCUCUCGUCGUGGCGUUCAGCCGACGACCCGUCUCCGGCCUAUCGGUUCGUCACGGAGGUGAACGGGCUUCCGGACAACACCCUCUGGGACGGGAGCACCAAAGUCUACCGCACAGGGCCCUGGAACGGACUGCGCGCGCAACGAUGGGAGACCUUCUUGAAGGGGCCGAGGGACGUCUGCGACGCCUACGCCAUGUGCGGGCCGUUCGGCCUCUGCAACGCCAACGCUCCUUCGACGUCCUUCUGCAGCUGUCCCAGGGGCUUCACCCCGGCGUCCCCCGCGGAGUGGGACCUGAGGGAGAACUCGGGUGGAUGCCGGCGAAGUGCCGCGCUAGACUGCGCCCAAGGGAACGAGGGCGCCAGCACCAGCAGCACGGACGGGUUCAUGGUGCUCCAGGGCGUGAAGCUCCCCGACACGUUCAACGCAUCGGUGGAUGCGAGCACCACGGUGGAGGAGUGCAGGGCCAGGUGCUUCGCCAACUGCUCCUGCGUGGCCUAUGCCCCUGCUGAUAUCAAGGUAGGUGCUGUCGCUGGGUGCAUCAUCUGGACAGGAAACAUCACCGACCUACGCUACGUGGAUGGAGGGCAGGCUUUGUACAUGAGGCUGCCAAAGUCUGAACUAGGUGCGUACAACCUCCUCCUCUCGCUAUUUUCACCGAAAACAACAAUUUCAAUUAUAGUGGUAAUAAUAUUUCAUACCUACAUGUCUCUUAGUGUUUCCGCAGCAACGUGUGGAAAUUGUCUAGUUUUGUACUACAUCUCAUAUGGUCAGAGUCUUUCAGAUGCUACCGACCCCGCUGCUAGUCGUCGAGAUCGUGCUUCGACUGUCGGGUCGGUCCCUGCAGCUGAUCCAUCUACUAUGACUGAAGCCACGGAAGAAUUUUCCGAAGCCGGCAUAUGUGUCCCUGCAGUAGAUCUGCCUUCUAUAAAGGCGGCCACAGACGAUUUUUCUGAUAGCAAUAUCAUUGGCAAAGGCGGAUUUGGCGUGGUUUACAAGGCCCGAUUAAAUGGUGAUGUCAUCGCUGUAAAAAGACUUAGACCAUCUGGCCGUACGGAAAAAGGCAAGAAUGACUUCACAAGAGAAGUGGAAGUGAUGUCAAGGGUCACGCAUAUAAAUCUUGUGAAACUAGUUUCCUACUGCCAGGAAGAAGACGAGUGGAUACUAGUCUACGAGUACAUGCCCAACAAAAGUUUGAGCCCCUACAUAUUUGGAGAAAACUCAUCACCCCGUCCAUCGUUGACUUGGUUUCAAAGGCUAGAGAUAAUCCGUGGUAUUGCGAUAGGUGUUGAUUACCUUCACAACAAGGAAGUCAUCCACAGAGAUCUUAAGUUGCCGAACAUACUCUUGGAUCACGAGCUAAAGCCUAAGAUAGCGGACUUCGGCACCGCAAAGCUAUUUAUUGAUGAUCAGACGAACCCAACAUUAGUACAAACACCGGGAUACAUUGCUCCAGAGUAUGCAAGGGAAGGCAACCUGACGCUCAAGUGUGACGUAUACAGUUUUGGAGUGGUCUUGCUAGAGAUAGUCUCUGGCAAAAAGAUCACUUCCGCAAAAACGUUUCUUCUUGAUGCAUGGAGGUAUUGGAACAAAGGAAAAAUCAAGGCCCUUCUUGAUUCGCAGGUGGCUGAACCUAACCAUCAGCUCUCGUUGGAUCUAUCCAGGGUUAUCCAGAUCGGGCUUCUCUGCGUUCAACCAAUGCCCAAUGACAGGCCUACCAUGCCAGAGGUGGUCGUAAUGCUAACUGACAGCAGUUCAUGGCUCGCUAGGCCCAAGAAGCACGAGGUCGGCCCUGGUCAA